CGAACUGAUUCUUUUACAUUAUGAAGUUUCUCUCUAUUUUCAUAGUGAUCGCAAUGCUGGCAGCGGUUGUUGUCGGACAGGGUUGCAGAGGAAAUGGGGUUGCGUGUGCACAUAGUAGCCAGUGUUGCUCGCGCCGUUGCUUCUGGAGAAGAUGUUCUCGAUAAGAAUAGGUGCUGCUUCAAAAUCAUGAAAUCGCUUUCCCAAGGAUAUUGUUCAUGGAAACUGCUUUAAUAUAAUGUUAUUUUCUGUAAUCUGUUGAAAAAAAUUUUUGUCUUCCACUUCAAUACGUUGUUUUUUGUGAUCCAAACGGAUUUUUCCCUCAUAAUAAUGUAAGAAAUCAGUCAUGUAUCACUGCUUCCGAUAACUGUCAAAUAGCUCGUAAUAAAUGUUUUAUUCACAUUCAAA